GACCGCGCAGCUCAGUUGGCAGAGCAUUGGAUGAGUAUUCCAAAGGUCGUGGAUUCGAUUCCCACCGUGGCCA